ACAAUCAUUGCCUUGGAAGCUUCAUCACGAUACUACUUUGCAUUUCUGAAGAGGGAAGAAGAAAUCAACAUGCAAAUUCAAUUCCAUGGUUUUGGAAGUCCCAUUGAGAACACGAUUCAUGUGCGCUGGCAUAAUGCUCUGACCGAGAAAGAAUCGAAGCUUCCGCUUGGAAGAAAGAUUCACAUCAAGUUGACUGGUCAAGUAAAUGGGACACUGACUAACCAUACAAUUAGACUGUUUUGAUGAGGAAC